rnacentral:rRNA from 1 species
GAUGAACGCUAGCGGCAGGCCUAAUACAUGCAAGUCGGACGGGAUUCCGGAGCUUGCUUCUGAUGAGAGUGGCGCACGGGUGCGUAACACGUAUGUAACCUACCUUUAUCAGGGGGAUAGCCUCUCGAAAGAGAGAUUAAGCCCGCAUAUAAUCACAGCACAGCGUUGUUUAAUGAUCAAAUAUUUAUAGGAUAAAGAUGGGCAUGCGGAACAUUAGCUAGAGGGCGGGGUAACGGCCCAACAUGGCGACGAUGUUUAGGGGAUCUGAGAGGAUGGGCCCCAACGCUGGGACGGAGACACGGGCCAGAAUACUACGGGAGGAAGCAGUAAGGAAGAAUGGUCGAGGGGCGGAAGCCUGAGCCAGCAAUGCCGCGUGCAGGAAGACGGCCCUAGGGGUUGUAAACUGCUGUUAUACGGGAAUAAACCCAGAUACGUGUAUCUGGCUGAAUGAACUGGAAGAAUAAGGAUCGGCUACCUCCGU